rnacentral:rRNA from 1 species
UCGAGGAUCUUCUGCAAUGGGCGCAAGCCUGACAGAGCGACGCCGCGUGGGGGAGGAAGGCCUUCGGGUUGUAAACCCCUGUUGCCGGUUAAGAAUGCCGGGGCGCAAAUAGCGCUUCCGGUUGACAAAGGCCGGUGAGGAAGCCACGGCUAACUUCGUGCCAGCAGCCGCGGUAAGACGAAGGUGGCGAGCGUUGUUCGGAAUCACUGGGCAUAAAGCGCGCGUAGGCGGCUAUGUAAGUCAGGUGUGAAAGCCCUCGGCUCAACCGAGGAACUGCGCCUGAUACUGCAUGGCUUGAGGUCCGGAGGGGAGAGUGGAAUUCCCGGUGGAGCGGUGAAAUGCGUAGAGAUCGGGAAGAACGCCGGCGGCGAAAGCGACUCUCUGGUCGGAAUCUGACGCUGAGGCGCGAAAGCUAGGGGAGCAAACGG